rnacentral:rRNA from 1 species
UACGGAGGGCGCAAGCGUUGAUCGGAAUUACUGGGCGUAAAGCGCGCGUAGGCCGCUGAGUCAGUCGGAUGUGAAAUCCCCGGGCUUAACCUGGGAAUUGCAUUCGAUACUGCCUGACUAGAGUGCGGAAGAGGGAAGUGGAAUUUCCGGUGUAGCGGUGAAAUGCGUAGAUAUCGGGAGGAACACCAGUGGCGAAGGCGGCUUCCUGGUCGAACACUGACGCUGAGGCGCGAAAGCGUGGGGAGCGAACAGG